GGGGCGUUUCCUGGCGCCGCCCCGCCGCCCGCGCCGCGCCGCGCGCUCUGCUGCCGAGUGCGGGGUGCGGAGCUCGGAGUCGCCGGUGCCGGCGGCUAUGAAGGUCUGGAGCUCCGAGCACGUAUUCGGCCACCCGUGGGACACGGUGAUCAAGGCGGCCAUGCGGAAGUACCCGAACCCGAUGAACCCGUGCGUGGUGGGCGUGGACGUGCUGGAGCGCCGCGUGGAUGGCCGCGGGCGGCUGCACAGCCUGCGCCUGCUCAGCACCGAGUGGGGGCUGCCCGGCCUCGUGCGCGCGAUUUUGGGGACCAGUAGGACUUUGACAUACAUCAAAGAGCAUUCUGUUGUGGAUCCCGUGGAAAAGAAAAUGGAACUUUGUUCCAGCAAUAUCACACUCACAAAUUUGGUGUCAGUGAAUGAGAGGUUGGUGUACACACCGCAUCCGGAGAACCCUGGAAAGACGGUGCUCACACAGGAAGCCAUCAUCACCGUGAAGGGGAUCAGCCUUGGCAGCUACCUGGAAAGUCUGAUGGCCAGCACAAUAUCAUCUAAUGCCAAGAAGGGGUGGGCUGCCAUUGAGUGGAUAAUCGAACAUUCUGAAAGCGCCGUAAGCUAACAGGCCUGGACCUGCACCUCAGGAUGCACGGUGGUAACUGCGGUACUUGUUAACCUGAUACCUCACCCAAAACAUCCAAGAAGACAGGAAGGAAGAGGAAGAAGGUGAAGAGAGGCGAGCAGGACGUGGCUCAGGCCCUGACUGGAGGGACCUGCUGGCACCCCUCCGGUGCCCUGGGGACCUUGGAGCAGCACCGCAGUGCAAGACUCGAGAAGUCAGCGCCCGUCCACGCCGAGUGGCUGCCGCAGCACUUGGCCUGUUUUGGGGCCUUGGCCGCUUUCCUGGCAGGGGCCCCAGCCCUUCCUGCCAGCUCAGGACCUUGCUGCUAGAGCCCCUCUCGUGCCCCCGCUGAGCCCUGUCCCUGCGCCAGCUGCACGUGCCCUCCGUGCUUCACAGAAACACCCGGGUCCUGAAGCCGCCUCUGCCCGGGCCUCCUCUGCUCCCCUUGGCGUGGAGCUCUGCUCACCGGCCGCUUCCCACCCACGGGAGCCGAGCCCUGGGCGCCGCAGGCCUUGCUGGGGUCCUGUGGCCCGGCGGGGUUUGGGCCGACUCCCAAGGGUCUCUGGCGGGGUCUGGCUGCUGACAAGGCUGCCCGGCUCCCGGGGAGAGGGGACUCCCAGUGACCUUGCCUUCCCACGGGCUGUGCCACUGCCCUCAGGACACCUGGGGUGCGGGCCUGCUGGGCUCCGCCUGGUGGCUCUGGGCCCUGCCUGGACUGGACGGUCCCACCUCCAUCACCGGCCCAGCUCUGCUCGCGCUUUGCCGGUGGCCUCGGGGUGCCGACACCUCCAAGUCUCUGCAGCUUGUUCUCCCGACUUUCUCCUCAUCGUUUCCUGACGUUGCAGGGAUCAGGGCAGAAGGCUUCCCACUGUCCUGAAAUCCAAGUUGUUUAAGACAACACUCAUUUAAAAAGCUCCAGAGCGAUCACGCUGAAUGGGUCAGAAGAAAAGCACAGGCCUGUGCUGAGCAGAGGCCCGACUCUCCCUCUGCAGGCGACCCCACCCCUGCUCUCAGCCCCUUCCCGAAAUCCAUGUGCCUGUGAAGCACCGGUGUGGGCUUUGAUCGUCCCCUUCUGUCAUUAAACUUGGACAGGCUCGUGCUGCACGCGCUGCUUGUGACUGUCUUUGUUUCUGCUUCUUGAACGUCCCCUGGAGGAUGCACCGCAGGGGCCACCUUCACUGGCUCUGCUGGGCCCAGUCGGCUGUUGGGCUGCCCCUGCAGGUGGCACCGUCUCCUGGACACUGUGCCCUGCUCUCUCCAGUGCAGCCCUCGCUCCCGGUUUCAGGAUGGCUCUGUCACUUCACAGGCUCAUUGUCUAAGUGUGUGACAUCGGGAGUCGUGUUCUGGAGGGACGCGUGUGAGGCUGCGAUGUGUAAACCACGUGCUGAGAGCGGGAUGGUGUCAGGGCAGCUUCUCUGAUCUGUGCGGGGGGAGGCCGCAGAGGUCCCGGGUGUUUUUGGAGGAAGGUCACAUUUUUAGUGUAAGGAAGGUUGUGUGGGUCAGCUGGUUAUGUCCCACCGUUGGGGGCUGGAGGUGGGUUAGAAACAAGCACCUGCAUGCGCUUGGCUUCUUGGUCUCCCAUGCCUUCAGUUAUUUAUUUAUUUAUUUAUUUAUUUUUGAAAAAGUUCAGUUGGUUUGUUAUAGUAUCAGGAAGAUUUAAAACUAUUGUGCUUCAUUCUGCUCACAGAUGGCCAACAUUAAGGGACAUAUUUUUCUCCCAAAGAGAGAAGUUGUCAGAAUCUUCGAUAUGUUUAAAUUACACAGGCAGAGUUACACACCUGCUGUUUCAUUCUGUACUCUGCCCCUUCCUGCAGUUGUACAGCUUACUGCAAAAGGGAAUUUUAGUUUGGAUAAUGGUUUAAAAGUCUUCCCUUGCUCUCACAGUGGCGCAUGCCUGUAAUCCCAGCGACUCAGGAAGCUGAGGCAUUGGUUCAAAGUCAACCUCAGCAAAAGUGAGGGUCUAAGCAACUCAGGAGACCCUGUCUCUAAAUAAAAU